AGGUGGCAGCCUUCAGCGGAGCAUGCUGAGAACCCUGUCGUCCCAGAGACCCUCAGUCCUGUCAGCCGUGGACACAGAGCUGCUGAGACCUGAAUGUGACAAGUAAACUCUUGGGCACAGUUCAGAGGACUCGGCCACCUGUCCCUGUCCCAGUUGCUUACUGAGAUGAGAGAUCAGCAGCUCCCCUUGCUCGCCCUGCCCCAGGCUCCUGCAUCAGCUUCUCCUGCAGGUGUCCCUGCCUGUGGGGUCGCCCGGGAUCCCUCAGGAUCUCCACCCGUGGGCCACCGUGGACCAGAACACUCCUUCCGAAUCCACAUGGGGAGAACAUGACCUUCAGUCCGAGUGUUUUCUGGUCCCCACAAAAUGCCUGGGGCUCUCCCCACCUGCCUUCCUCCCAGUUGGCCUCUCCUUUCUGUCCUGCUCACACGCAGCUAGUUCUUUAUUUGUAUUAACAUAAAUGACAUUCCUACUCACUGUUG